rnacentral:rRNA from 1 species
AUUGAACGCUGGCGGCAUGCCUAACACAUGCAAGUCGAACGAGUGGCGGACGGGUGAGUAAUAUCUGGGAAACUGCCUGAUGGAGGGGGAUAACUACUGGAAACGGUAGCUAAUACCGCAUACCAUCGGAUGUGCCCAUAUGGGAUUAGCUAGUUGGUGGGGUAAAGGCUCACCAAGGCGACGAUCCCUAGCUGGUCUGAGAGGAUGACCAGCCACACUGGGACUGGGACACGGGCCAGACUACUACGGGAGGCAGCAGUGGGGAAUAUUGGACAAUGGGGGAAACCCUGAUGCAGCCAUGCCGCGUGUAUGAAGAAGGCCUUAGGGUUGUAAAGUUCUUUCAGGCGGGAGGCGUUACCGGCAGAAGAAGCACCGGCUAACUCCGUGCCAGCAGCCGCGGUAAUUC